rnacentral:rRNA from 1 species
UACGGGGGGGGCAAGCGUUGUUCGGAAUUACUGGGCGUAAAGGGCUCGUAGGCGGCCAACUAAGUCGGAUGUGAAAUCCCCAGGCUCAACUUGGGAACUGCAUCCGAUACUGGAUGGCUUGAAUUCGGGAGAGGGAUGCAGAAUUCCAGGUGUAGCGGUGAAAUGCGUAGAUAUCUGGAGGAAUACCGGUGGCGAAGGCGGCCCACUGGAUCGGUACUGACGCUGAGGUGCGAAAGCGUGGGGAGCAAACAGG